rnacentral:rRNA from 1 species
CCCUUAGAUGUUCUGGGCCGCACACGCGCUACACUGAAGGAGGCAGCGUGUACUCCUGGAUCGAAAGAUUUGGGUAACCCGCGAAUCUCCUUCGUGCUAGGGAUUGAGGUUUGCAAUUAUCCUUCAUGAACGAGGAAUUCCCAGUAAGUGCAAGUCAUAAGCUUGCGCUGACUACGUCCCUGCCCUUUGUACACACCGCCCGUCGCUACUACCGAUUGAAUGAUUUAGUGAGGACUUCUGACUGGGACCGAUGCGGCUUUCGGGCUGCGUCGGUAUUCUGGAAAGAUGUCCAAACUGUAUCAUUUAGAGGAAGUAAAAGUCGUAACA